AUGUUACUAGGAUACAUUUUAAUAUAUGCACUAGUGGGUGGCUGUCAAGGGAAGGACAUUACUCCAACAACAGAUAAGGUGUUUGGGUUGGAGGGUGAUGUCAUAAAUCUGUCCUGUAACUACUCCUCUGCUAGUACUCUCCAGUGGUAUCAACAGUACCCUGGAUCAUCUCCCAAAUUCCUUCUCCUCACUACAGUCUCCUCAAACCCCUCUGUAGUGAACGCUACUCCUCCAUACCCACAUCUGUCUAUUAAACUGAAUAAGGAGAGAACCCGUGUGGAUCUGGAGAUCUCCUCUGCUGAUGAAACAGACUCUGCUCUGUACUACUGCGCCCUGGAGCCCACAGUGACAGGAAAUCCUGAAACACUGUACAAAAAUCUGACAGCUCAUGAUAAACACGUCUUGUGCAUAUUUUAGUGCAGAGGUGGGGCAUCCUACUGUAUGUUCAAGAAAAUGUAUUAUCUUUUAUUAAAAAACUGUGUUGGGACUUCACUCCAGCAUAUAACCUCAGCAACAAUGGCUCUCUACGGAGUUAUUUUACUUUCUGCUCUGACAGGUUAGUAAAUUAAUGUAUUACUGUCAUUAUUUUUACAACAUAUAUUAUUUCCUCAUUUCAAAUACAUUUCUCUUGUAAUUGAUCUGUCACCUAUUCAUAUUUGUCGAUGGCAGUUUUCAGCAGACCUUCCAGACAAACCAACAUGAAGUGUAUGAAGAGGAGGGCAGUAAUGUUCAGCUUUCCUGCUACUACACUCAGCAUACAGUGUUUUGUGGUAUAAACAGUAUCCAGGAGCCCACAGUGACAGGAAACUGAGAAACACUGUACAACAACCAUACAACACUCUGCACUAUACUGCUGUGCUGUGACGUCCACAGUGACGCAAAAUUUACUGACUCAGCAGUGAGCUGAAUUUUAUGGAUUUACAAGCAUCUGCUGUAGUCUGUUAGACAACAGUGCCAUCAAUCGGAGUCUCUAGUGAAAAAAAUCAAAUGUAUAUGAAACAUCUUUGAUUCUACAUUGUCAGUAGGAGGAGCUAGAGUAAAAAAACUCAGGAUUAGAUUAUGAAUCCUCAAGAUAAAACAUGAUACUACCAUGUAGAUUAUAGCCAGUUGAUGCUGUGCUUUUCAUCAUCAGUUGGUGCUUCUUCUACACAUCCUGCCAUCUACAAUGUUGUUCUGUUCACUAUUACUCUUCUUUGACUUGAAAGGUAAGUAAUUACAUUUUCAUUCAAACUGAGUGUGAUUAUGUUGAGGUAUUUAUUUUUCAAAUCGAAGAUCAUGAAGCACUACAUGAAGAUACAUGUUUUUACUUUGAAUACUUCUUAUUGUUACACUGCGUUUGGAAUUAAUUCAAUCUUCCAUGUGGGUUUAAGUUAUGUGACAGAUCUUCUUUGUGUGUCCUCCUCCUAUAGACUGCCCUCCACAGUUAUGAAGUCCAGUGACAAGGUUUUUCUAUGUAUAAUAAUGAUACAAUAGUUCCAUACAGUGUUCAACAUUCUGCCCAACAAGGUGAAACCUUGACAUUGCUUGUAUUUUCAAGGGCAAGUUACUAGUGAGAGUCAAUAGGUGUCAGUAGAGUCUCAUAGGUUGCUUCUAUUCCUUUCAGCUAGCGAUAUAAGGUUUUUCAUGGGCUGUGUCUCAAUGCACCGCAUCAGCCUAUGGCGGUCUUCUGCAUCGGCAGGGGAAGAUGGCCAAGCUGCAGCGGUGUUUGUCAGACCAUGAGACAUCGUGAAAAUCGAUCUUCUCACAAAUAUGUCUGUAGCAUCCGAACGGUUUGGCCUAAAAAAUGUAUGUGACCACUCUACCGAAAGACGAGACUCUCACUGUCCAUGUGCCAACUUCUGUUUGUGGCGUACCACUAAUGUGACCCCGCUGGGGAAAGGGUAAAUUCUCACGAACACGAUGGCGAAUUUAAGGGGUUAAAUAUGUGUAAAAAAAACAAUAUAUACAUAUAUAUAUAUAUUUCCUGAGCUUUCUUAUAUCUCAGAGUUAAAGGACAGACACUUCAUUUUUUGCCAUUUAUGAACGUGUUAAAUCCUUUUCUAUGGGAUUUUGGUAGUAUAGGGCAAAUUCUAUAUUUUAUCAAAUCAUCUUGUUAUAUAUUUUAUACCUAAAGGUGUCCUAAAAUUUCAAAUCAAGUAGCUUAAUGAUCCAUUCAGUAUGUCCUGAGAAGAGAUAGUUAUGCAGAAGGGAGCAAUGUUGAUGAGUUUAAGAAGAGGUUUGAUUUCAAGGCUAAAUUUCACUUCUAGCUCUGUCCCCUUGACAAUCCAGAGGUCGCAGUUGUUUGACUCUGCUGUGUACAACUCUGCUCUGAGGCCCACUGUGACAACAAGAUGUACAGCCCCCCACAAAAACGAGUAUAUCCUUGGCACCGGUGUAGAAAAAAUGCAAGACUUACAUCUGUGGUGGGUGUGACAUUAGCAGGGCUGUACACCUCACACAGUGACACACAGAAGGAUAUUUCAGAGGAGAGUGAAUGAAUGCAAACAUUCGUCUGAAGAUGGAGAAAUCAAUCAGUGUAUUGAUCAUUCUGAUUAUGACUACAGGUAAACAACACCUCAACAUUUGAACUCCUUGCAUCCUUAUAAUCAGAUUAUUACAUUAUGGUAUUGGUAGUAAAACAUUGUUUGAUGAAGUAAAGUCAUUUAAUUGAGAAUAACUAAGUUGAUUUCUAAAAAGUCUUUAAAAAAGCAUGUUAUCAAUCAGCUUAAUUAUGCAUUUUUCCUCUGCAGGAAUGGUAUGUGGAGAUAGUGUGACUCCUGACAAGGAGGAGUAUACCCCCACUGAGGGAUCAUCAGUGACUCUGAGAUGUACAUAUGAAACAAUCAGCGAUUAUACUUCCCUUUACUGGUACAGGCAUUAUCCUAACCAGGCUCCUCAGUUUCUACUGUAUAAAGGUGCCAGAUCAAGGAGCAGGGAACACAUCCCUGAUAAGAGAUAUAAAUCCACAACAUCCCAGACAUCAACUGAACUGGUGAUAACAAGCCUAACCCUGGCAGACACAGCUCUCUACUACUGUGCUCUUGACACAGUGAUACAAAGUGUAUAAUACACUGUACAAAAACCUGCAGACCAAAAAGCUUUGAUGAAGUGGAAAUCAUAAUUAACCAUCAACCACAUUUGAUGUCAUAAUGGCAGAAGUUGAGAUCAGAGAAAUGUGGUCACACCUGUGCUGUGUUCAAUCACCAGGUGGUCUGGUGUUUCUCUGUCGUCAUAUUCAAUGCACUGUGAGAAAUAUGUAUUCUUCACUCUUCAAUCAGUAGUCUUCAAUUUCACUUACCGUAGGCAGUUUUUUUGAAACAUUUUGGCUGGAUAAUCACUUGGGAAUACGAUUAAAUGCAACAAUAUGGCUUGGUGGUGUAGUAUGAAAGUCAACCUGAAGGAGGAAAUCUAACAAAGCACACACCACUGAAUUAGAGGAUGCCAUACAGACAGACACCUCCCCAUGGUCUACUACUGCAUGUAAUACAGAACAACAUGAAGCAUCAACAGUAGGAGCUCUGUCAAAGCUCUGUGAUAGAUAGAUCAGCAUUGUUCUGCUCCUAUUCCACUUAAAACUGACUGACUAGUCAUGAGAAAUUGGCUGAUCCUGUAUGUUCUGGAUGCAUGCUGCUUUGCUAUAACAUCACUCUGUUCAUCUGUCUCUUUCUGUGCAUUUGUUCAUUUGAAUUAUAUACAUUAUCAUUACAUGUUGUGAAUAUAUAUUUAUCUUUCUUUUCAGGGUGCAGAGCAGAAGAGAAUGUAGCACAGUCAACAGAAGAGGUAAUGGCCGUAGAAGGACACCCAACAACACUCACUUGUCUAUUUGAUACUUCUCAAUUACCAUAUCUCUUCUGGUACAAACAAAUAGCAAAUGGCAAGCCCAUCUUUAUGCUGAGAAGGGAUACGUUUUCACCUGGGGAAACUGCUACUGAGUUCAAGGACAGAUUUGAUGACUGAAUUUCACAGCAAAUGUCACGCUGUAGAUUGCUUUGUAUGUUUCUAUUUUUAGUUUGGUCAGGGUAUGAUGUGGGUGGGUAACCUAUGUUGUAGGCACCUGUCUAUCGUUGUCUCUGAUUGAGAGCCAUACUUAGGUAGCCUGUUUUCCCAUUUUGAGUUGUGGGUGAUUAUUUUCUGGUUAGUGUUUGUUGCACCUGUCAGUACUGUUCGUUGGUCGUUUUAUUGUUUUUCUUUAAGUAUUAUGGAUACGUACCACGCUGCACUUUGGUCCUCCUCUCCUUCUACCGUCGAAAAUCGUUACAGAAUCACCCACCACAAAAGGACCAAGCAGCGUGGUAACGAGAGGCAGCGAGAUCUGGACUAUGUGACAAAUUGGGAAGAGGUAGAAAGGUUGUCGGUCGACCCAGGGAGAGUGCCGGAGCCCGCCUGGGAUUCUCUGUAACAGUGCGAGGAGGGUUACAGGAGAAUGGAGUUGGCGACAUGAACACGGCAGCGCAACAGGCACGAGAGACAGCCCCGAAAAACAUUUAGGUGGGGGCAAACGGGGAGAUUGGCGGAGUUAGGUAGGAGACCUGAGCCAACUCCUUGUGCUUACCGGAAGAAGCGCAGUACUGGUCAGGCACCGUGUUAUGCGGUCAAGCGCACGGUGUCGCCAGUACCCGCUCAUAGCUCGGAGCUCUAUAGGCCAGCCCCCCGCAAGUGUCAUGCAAGAGUGGGCAUCCAGCCAGGGCGUAUUGUGCCGGCUCAGCGUGUCUGGUCUCCGAUGCGCCGUUUCGACCGAGGGUAUCCUGCGCCGGCUCUGCAUGCUGUGUCUCCGGGGCGCAGGGAGGGUGCAGUGCGGCAAGGGUCGCCGCUCCAAAGGCACCACUGAAGUGGGCCAAGACUAU
rnacentral:lncRNA from 1 species